rnacentral:rRNA from 1 species
AGCACGGAGCUUGCUCUGGUGGCGAGUGGCGAACGGGUGAGUAAUAUAUCGGAACGUACCCUAGAGUGGGGGAUAACGUAGCGAAAGUUACGCUAAUACCGCAUACGAUCUAAGGAUGAAAGUGGGGGAUCGCAAGACCUCAUGCUCGUGGAGCGGCCGAUAUCUGAUUAGCUAGUUGGUAGGGUAAAAGCCUACCAAGGCAUCGAUCAGUAGCUGGUCUGAGAGGACGACCAGCCACACUGGAACUGAGACACGGUCCAGACUCCUACGGGAGGCAGCAGUGGGGAAUUUUGGACAAUGGGCGAAAGCCUGAUCCAGCAAUGCCGCGUGAGUGAAGAAGGCCUUCGGGUUGUAAAGCUCUUUUGUCAGGGAAGAAACGGUGAGAGCUAAUAUCUCUUGCUAAUGACGGUACCUGAAGAAUAAGCACCGGCUAACUACGUGCCAGCAGCCGCGGUAAUACGUAGGGUGCAAGCGUUAAUCGGAAUUACUGGGCGUAAAGCGUGCGCAGGCGGUUUUGUAAGUCUGAUGUGAAAUCCCCGGGCUCAACCUGGGAAUUGCAUUGGAGACUGCAAGGCUAGAAUCUGGCAGAGGGGGGUAGAAUUCCACGUGUAGCAGUGAAAUGCGUAGAUAUGUGGAGGAACACCGAUGGCGAAGGCAGCCCCCUGGGUCAAGAUUGACGCUCAUGCACGAAAGCGUGGGGAGCAAACAGGAUUAGAUACCCUGGUAGUCCACGCCCUAAACGAUGUCUACUAGUUGUCGGGUCUUAAUUGACUUGGUAACGCAGCUAACGCGUGAAGUAGACCGCCUGGGGAGUACGGUCGCAAGAUUAAAACUCAAAGGAAUUGACGGGGACCCGCACAAGCGGUGGAUGAUGUGGAUUAAUUCGAUGCAACGCGAAAAACCUUACCUACCCUUGACAUGGCUGGAAUCCUCGAGAGAUUGGGGAGUGCUCGAAAGAGAA